rnacentral:rRNA from 1 species
AGAAUCAACGCUGGCGGCGUGCCUAACACAUGCAAGUCGAACGCGAAAGUGGAGCAAUCCAUUAGUAGAGUGGCAAACGGGUGAGUAACACGUGGGCGACCUACCUCAGAGGUGGGGGAUAACCUUCCGAAAGGAGGGCUAAUACCGCAUGACAUCCCGUGUUUGGAUACGACGGAGAUCAAAGCCGGGGAUCGCAAGACCUGGCGCUUGGAGAGGGGCCCGCGUCCGAUUAGCUAGGUUGGUGAGGUAACGGCUCACCAAGGCUCCGAUCGGUAUCCGGCCUGAGAGGGCGGACGGCACGACUGGAACUGAGACACGGUCCAGACUCCGUACGGGAGCAGCAGGUGGGAAUUGGUCGCAAGUGGGACGAAAGCCGUAGACCGACGCAACGCCGCGUGGAGGAUGAAGAGUUUCGGUACGUAAAC